rnacentral:lncRNA from 1 species
CAAUUUUUCACAAUUUGUUCAUCACAUUUGCUAACUUUAAAAAAUCUUCUCCUCUGAAACUACUGAAUGGAUUUGGAUGAAACUUAGCAUGAUUGUUCUUUAGAUUAUCCUGCACAAAGUGUGUGCUUCGAUUUUUGAUCCGUCAAAAAACAUGGCCGCCAUUACUUAAAAUAGAACAUAGGGGUCAAAUGCAGUUUUUGGCUUAUAUCUCAAAAACGAAAGCAUUUAGAGCAAAUCUGACAUGGGGUAAAAAUGUUCAUUAGGUCAAGAUCUAUCAGCCCUGAAAUUUUC